UACGAAGGGGGCUAGCGUUGUUCGGAAUUACUGGGCGUAAAGCGUGCGCAGGCGGCUGCUCAAGUCGGGUGUGAAAGCCCGGGGCUCAACCCCGGAACGGCACCCGAGACUGGGCGGCUCGAGACCGGGAGAGGUGGGUGGAAUACCCAGUGUAGAGGUGAAAUUCGUAGAUAUUGGGUGGAACACCGGUGGCGAAAGCGGCUCACUGGCCCGGUUCUGACGCUGAGGCGCGAAAGCGUGGGGAGCAAACAGG
rnacentral:rRNA from 1 species